ACUACCGUUCAAGUUUGUUUACAUUUUACAUAGAAAGGCUGUUAGUUGUGUGAUUUUUAUCCCUGGUCCAGCAAACCUAUGGUCAAAGUUGUUCCGACCAUGACGACUUUUUUUCUUUCAGGCAUAAGAAUUGGACAGUUAUUUUACCUUAUGGAUUGUUAUUUGAAUAUGAAUGAAAUUUCACACAUGAAUAAAAGCUACCCAUCUCUGGUCUACAGCAAUUUAAUCUGGCAAAAAAUUUAAACCAAAGAUGAAUCGUUAUAAAAGCAAGGAAACCCCAAGAAAAAUUUAGUUUAGUCACCAGUCGGUGACGACUCAACCAGUUAGUCACCAGUAGGUGACGACUCAAUGAGAACAAAGUCUGGCUGAUCAGCUACAAUCUUGGCCAGAGAGAGAAAUGAAGUUUACAGUCAGCAACUGUGAGACAACGUCCCAAACCCUACAACUUCCACUAGCUCUAAUUCUGUUCUCUUACAACACCACUAUCUCUCUCUGUGGAUUACUACUAAAUGAAGAGGAAAUAAAUGCAAGCUUUACUUCGCAUGUUUAUGGAUCUAUUAUAACCUGCCUGUCGUGGUAAAGUAUUGUAACGUAACAGUAAAUAAAUAUUUUCUUAAAACUUCAUGCAUUGUUCAUCUUUCCCAUCUUACAACAUGCAAUUAUAACAAAUCAAUUUCCCUCAUUACAACUGGUGACCCUCGACUUCAACUAAAAACUUUAUCGUUACAAACUGGCAAUCACGACGUUGCACCAUAACUCAUCGCUACACAAAUUAAAAUACAACCGUUACAAUUGGUGACCCCAAACAAAAGAAUUGCAGCCUUCACAAGAACCCAAUCAUUACAAUUGGUGACCCCGUGAAAAAAGAGAAUCACUGCCUUCUGAAGCUGCAUUACCAACAAAUUGGUGACCUUGUAAAAAAAGAAUUGCUACCUUCUGAAACUGCAUUACCAACAGUCACAACUGUUAACCCCAAGCGAAAGAAUUGCUACCUUCUGCAUUUUUGCUGAUUCGAACUAAAGAACUACAGUCGCUGAACCAAAGAAAAUUAAUGACAACCUUCAUCACCACCAAGAUGCACCCUCCAUCGACCUGCUACAGAAAGCACUAUACUGCGAUGCAAUCUACGAUGCACUUCACAACAAUGCAACACUGCCGAAACAUAAGGUAUUCGCCAACCAUGAAAGCCUAUAAGCGCAACAUUUUGACAGCUACAUGCCAGAAACUAACUGGAAGAAAAUACGGAAGCCCGCACAUGCAACCUUUUCGGCACACACACGCUUUUCAUCUCGUCCCGAUGUACAAACUUUGCAUUGUCAAUGAAUUUUUGCACGUACAUAAAUAAGACUCUCACAUAGACUUUCAACAACUCUUUUUCUUUGCAUGCACAUUUUCUUUUCACUUUCAGCAGUAGACUUUUCACAAGGGACGCUAUUUUCAGCUAAGUUUGUUAGUUUUGCUUAUCUUAUUAUUCUGUUUGCACUGCACACUUUCAUUUCUUGACGAGUUACAUAUACCACAAAGCACAUUCCGCGAUGCACACAUUCCCCGAGGCAAAUACCGCGAAGCACAUUCCACGGUGCACACAUUUCGCGAUGUACACGCGAUGCACAAGUUCUGCGACGACUUGUUUCACUAAGAUGGCCAAAUUCAUGUGCAUAUCUUUUUCAAUGUACUAUGUUAUUAUUCACAUUUUGCAUGUAUAUAUACGUUUUUCUCGUUCACUUUGAAAAUGUAUUGUUGCGUGCACACACGCAUGCACCUUUCCUCAGUGCCUGGCCUUGCACACAUGGUUCAUACAUACACAAAUGCUAUCUCUGUCACAUUCAUGCACCACACAUACCUUUCUCGUUUAUUUUCCAUGCUCAAUGCACCCUUGUAGACACAACUCGUCUCUGUAAGACUCUAUGUCGGUCACGCAUACAUAGAGAAAGUUGUUUGACCCUUACAACGUGCCAGCAUGACACACUUUUGUUCCUACACGAUCGAGGCUUAUAAUACCUCAUGCACCGACUGGCAGCCUCAGCCUUACUGCAUUAAUCACUGGCAUAUUCAAUACUGUACACUGUAUUUGUAAUCAAUGCACUAGCAUUAGCCUCAGCCUUGCAAGCUCUAUUGCACUCAUGCACUUGCAUCUGUAUUAUGCAUCUACUGCCUUGUUUUGCAACAUGUCUGCAUCACCUCGAUUCCAAUCCCGACUCAAAGCACGCUGGAUGUUCACAUGCUCUGCGCUCAUGUUUAGACAUACUUUCCUCCAUUAGACCCCUGUUUGGUCAUGUAAUUAACAGAGAAAAUGAUCUGUCUUGCGCAUCACUUCAGAAUGCUUACACUGUUGCCCUUGCUAACUCAGCAAUUAACCACGACAACAGCACCAGACGCAUUUCACUUUGGGCAUUUCACCUUGAAGGCAUUUCACACACUGCAACCCUGCAGGAGGAUCUUUCAUAUCACGGAUUGAGAAUGCACUCACUUGCUCAUCUGAGCUUAUUUUUCAGUCAAUUGCGAAACGUGCACCUGCACUCCUGUAUACGCCCUCACGUGCACACACGCACCCAUUUGCUGUACUGCCCAGUCACUGACUGCACACAUUUUAGCACGCAAAGUGACACUGUCCCGUAUACACUUCAACGAUCCUCUCUCCUGAUAUGCGAAAUUUCUCCUCAACCAUACAUUAUUUUUUGUCUCCUUUGUUCGUUCGUUUCCCUUCCAGGAACCUCACUGGCGAGGAGAGUGAUGUAAUGGAUCUUGCAUGCAUGAAGUGGAUUUGAUCCACUAUAGCUAAAUUUAAAUUAACACUGCAACAGAACUUUUCCCACAGUGGAACAAUGGUUUUUCUCUGACAACGAUUUUAUAUUUUCCAGAUGCCUUUAGCUAGACCGAAAUAAUGUCUUCACCACUUGACCCUUCCUAACCUCUUCUACUCCACUAAAAGCUAGAAUAGAGAUAACCAGACCACCAACUAAAACAAUUGUUCUCAAUAAUAUAUCUAUCCUUCUGGAUUGUUAUAAAAGCAAGGAAACCUCAAGAAAAAUUUAGUCUAGUCACCAGUCGGUGACGACUCAACCAGUCCAGUCACAUGGUGAUGACUCAGUGAGAACGAAGUCUGGCUGACCAGCUACAACCUUGGCCAGAGCGAGAAGGAAGGUUACAACCAGCCAACUAUGAGACACAACCUCCCUCGACUCUAUAACUUUCACUAGCUCACUUUCUUUUCUCUGUAACAUUACCAUAUCUCUGUCUAUAUACUGCUACAAGAUCGUGUACACACAUAUACAGGCCGAAAUUAAUUUUCUUCACCUUGCAUGCUUUACGAACUGUGUUAUACUAUUACACUAACCUACCCGUCAUGGUAUGGCAUUUAUUAAAGUAACGAUAAAUAUUUCUUUACAACUUCGAUCACUGUUCUUCGUUCAUUUUACAACCGUUACACUGGCAACC